CCUACGGGAGGCAGCAGUGGGGAAUAUUGGACAAUGGGGGCAACCCUGAUCCAGCCAUGCCGCGUGUGUGAAGAAGGCCCUCGGGUUGUAAAGCACUUUCAGUGAGGAAGAACGCCUGGUGGUUAAUACCCAUCAGGAAAGACAUCACUCACAGAAGAAGCACCGGCUAACUCCGUGCCAGCAGCCGCGGUAAUACGGAGGGUGCGAGCGUUAAUCGGAAUUACUGGGCGUAAAGCGCGCGUAGGUGGCUUGAUAAGCCGGUUGUGAAAGCCCCGGGCUCAACCUGGGAACGGCAUCCGGAACUGUCAAGCUAGAGUGCAUGAGAGGAAGGUAGAAUUCCCGGUGUAGCGGUGAAAUGCGUAGAGAUCGGGAGGAAUACCAGUGGCGAAGGCGGCCUUCUGGACUGACACUGACACUGAGGUGCGAAAGCGUGGGUAGCAAACAGGAUUAGAUACCCCAGUAGUC
rnacentral:rRNA from 1 species